rnacentral:rRNA from 1 species
GACGAACGCUGGCGGCGUGCUUAACACAUGCAAGUCGAACGGAAAGGCCCUGCUUUUGUGGGGUGCUCGAGUGGCGAACGGGUGAGUAACACGUGAGUAACCUGCCCUUGACUUUGGGAUAACUUCAGGAAACUGGGGCUAAUACCGGCUAGGAGCUCCUGCUGCAUGGUGGGGGUUGGAAAGUUUCGGCGGUUGGGGAUGGACUCGCGGCUUAUCAGCUUGUUGGUGGGGUAGUGGCUUACCAAGGCUUUGACGGGUAGCCGGCCUGAGAGGGUGACCGGCCACAUUGGGACUGAGAGACGGCCCAGACUCCUACGGGAGGCAGAAGUGGGGAAUAUUGCACAAUGGGCGGAAGCCUGAUGCAGCAACGCCGCGUGCGGGAUGAAGGCCUUCGGGUUGUAAACCGCUUUCGCCUGUGACGAAGCGUGAGUGACGGUAAUGGGUAAAGAAGCACCGGCUAACUACGUG